GAUGAACGCUAGCUACAGGCUUAACACAUGCAAGUCGAGGGGCAGCAUCAUCAAAGCUUGCUUUGAUGGAUGGCGACCGGCGCACGGGUGAGUAACACGUAUCCAACCUGCCGACAACACUGGGAUAGCCUUUCGAAAGAAAGAUUAAUACCGGAUGGCAUAGUUUUCCCGCAUGGGAUAAUUAUUAAAGAAUUUCGGUUGUCGAUGGGGAUGCGUUCCAUUAGGCAGUUGGCGGGGUAACGGCCCACCAAACCAACGAUGGAUAGGGGUUCUGAAAGGAAGGUCCCCCACAUUGGAACUGAGACACGGUCCAAACUCCUACGGGAGGCAGCAGUGAGGAAUAUUGGUCAAUGGACGAGAGUCUGAACCAGCCAAGUAGCGUGAAGGAUGACUGCCCUAUGGGUUGUAAAACUUCUUUUAUACGGGAAUAAAGUGAGGCAUGUGUGCCUUUUUGCAUGUACCUUAUGAAUAAGGACGCUAAUUCCGUG
rnacentral:rRNA from 1 species